rnacentral:rRNA from 1 species
UGCCCAAGAGAUCGGGAUAACACCUGGAAACAGAUGCUAAUACCGGAUAACAACAGAUGAUGCCUAUCAACUGUUUAAAAGAUGGUUCUGCUAUCACUCUUGGAUGGACCUGCGGUGCAUUAGCUAGUUGGUAGGGUAACGGCCUACCAAGGCGAUGAUGCAUAGCCGAGUUGAGAGACUGAUCGGCCACAUUGGGACUGAGACACGGCCCAAACUCCUACGGGAGGGCAGCAGCA